rnacentral:rRNA from 1 species
UUAAGUCCCGCAACGAGCCGCAACCCUUCGUCUUUAAUUGCCAUCAUUCAGUUGGGCACUUUAAAGGAGACUGUCGGUGUUAAACCGGAGGAAGGUGGGGAUGACGUCAAGUCCUCAUGGCCUUUAUGCCCAGGGCUACACACGUGCUACAAUGGGUGGUACAAAGAGCAGCAAGCUCGCGAGAGCAAGCGAAUCUCAAAAAGCCAUCCUCAGUUCGGAUUGAAGUCUGCCAAUUCGACUUCAUGAAGUCGGAAUCGCUAGUAAUUGCGGAUCAGCAUGCCGCGGUGAAUACCGGUUCCCGGGCCUU